AUUUAAAAGAGUAGUUAUUGUUGCAAACUCCAUUAGAAAUUUGAAUUGAUAUCAGUUUUGGAAAAAGGGAAACGGGGAUGUGAAAAAAGGGGGGGGGGGGGUUUAAAUUUUUCUCAUUUCAGAUUUCAUAAAUAAAAAGAAAAUUUCUUCAAACAUUUUUUUGAGAGGAUUAAUAUUCAACAGCAUAGUGAAUUGCUCAAAGGCAAAAAAAAAACUUUUAAGUUCAUUAGACCACAUUCAUUCUGUGUCAGAAACCUAUGCUGUGUCAACUAUUUAAUUUUAGAUUUAAAAAGUUUGAAGAAGAAAUCUGUAAUUGAUUUGUAAAAUCUUGACAUUUGUUUUGUGUUAAAAAAAACCAUGUAAUGUCAAAAAUUUUAUCACAAUCCAAAUUCAGAGCUGUAUCACGCUUGAAUGUUUUGUCCAUACUUGCCCCAACUGUUCAGGGUUCGACCUCUGCGGUCGUAUAAAGCUGCGCCCU
rnacentral:lncRNA from 1 species